AAAGCUAGAAUUUUUUUAUAGGACGAGAAGACCCUGUAGAACUUGAACUCAUAUAAAGGUAAUAUUACCUUUAUAUGAGUUAAGUUGGGGAGAUUUUAAUUUUUAAUUAACAAUUAUUUAUUUUUUCAAUAAUUUUUGAUUUUUUGAUCCAAUUUUUUUGAUUAUAAGACUAAGUUACCUUAGGGAUAACAGCGUAAUUUAUUUGGAGAGUUCUUAUCGAUAAUUUAAGUUUGCGACCUCGAUGUUGAAUUAAGAUUAAAAUUGGAGGGAGUUCUUUAUAUUUUUGGUCUGUUCGACCAUUAAUAUCUUACAUGAUUUGAGUUUAGACCGGUGUGAGCCAGGUUGGUUUCUAUCCUUAAUGUUUUCUUUUUAUUUUUUAGUACGAGAGGACCAAGAAUUUAAUAAAAAUUUU
rnacentral:rRNA from 1 species